UGGGCCUCAGAGCACCACUGAACCCCCCUCUCAAGGCCUGGGCCUGGGCGUCAGAGCACCGCUGAACCCCCCUCUCCAGGCCUGGGCCUGGGCCUCAGAGCACCACUGAACCCCCCUCUCAAGGCCUGGGCCUGGGCGUCAGAGCACCGCUGAACCCCCCUCUCCAGGCCUGGGCCUGGGCCUCAGAGCACCACUGAACCCCCCUCUCCAGGCCUGGGCUUGGGCCUCAGAGCACCGCUGAACCCCCCUCUCCAGGCCUGGGCCUGGGCCUCAGAGCACCGCUGAACCCCCCUCUCAAGGCCUGGGCCUGGGCCUCAGAGCACCGCUGAACCCCCCUCUCCAGGCCAGGGCUUGGGCCUGGGCCUCAGAGCACCGCUGAACUCCCCUCUCCAGGUGGGCCUGGGCCUGGGCCUCAGAGCACCGCUGAACCCCCCUCUCCCGGCCUGGGCCUGGGCCUCAGAGCACCGCUGAACCCCCCUCUCAAGGCCUGGGCCUGGGCGUCAGAGCACUGCUGAACCCCCCUCUCCAGGCCUGGGCCUGGGCCUCAGAGCACCACUGAACCCCCCUCUCAAGGCCUGGGCCUGGGCCUCAGAGCACUGCUGAACCCCCCUCUCCAGGUGGGCCUGGGCCUGGGCCUCAAAGCACCGCUGAACACCGCUCUUCAGGUGGGCCUGGGCCUAGGCCUCAGAGGACCACUGAACCCCCCUCUCCAGGCCUGGGCCUGGGCCUCAGAGCACCACUGAACUCCCCUCUCCAGGUGGGCCUGGGCCUGGGCCUCAGAGCACCGCUGAACACCCCUCUCCAGAUUUCUGUGACUUCUCUGACUAAAAAGGAAUUCCCUGGGACCAUUUGGAGAAGCUCCACAUCACUGCACCAGCUCACCCUCUUCAGUGGAAAGCUGAAAGACAUUUCAGGGGUUUCAAUCCCACAUGAUUGAGGUGGGGUUCCCACAAUUAAUAGUUCUCAUCACAGAUGGUGCCUCCUUCCCAGAGGAUGAGCACAAACUAAUGGUUAUUAUGGCAGAAGAGAAGCAAAAGAGAUGCUUCAUGACUGGAGGGCUGAGUGUCACAGGAGGCAUGUGACAGAGGCAGCAUUGUGACAAGCUGGAUGAUGUCUCCUCACAAUUGGUAUGAAGCCUCUGCUUACACCUGGAGAAAGAGCAGUGAAGGCAGAAAGAAAGUCCAUAGCCUCGUGGAGCUGGCAGCUUCAGAGGAAAUGCAGGUGUUAAGGAGAUUAAAGAGCAGAGAUGGGGCAGCCCCGGUGGCGUAGCGGUUUGGCACCGCCUGCAGCCCGGAGUGUGAUCCUGGAGACCCGGGAUCGAGUCCCACGUCGGGCUCCCUGCGUGGAGCCUGCUUCUCCCUCUGCCUGUGUCUCUGCCUCUCUCUCUCUCGCUCUCUCUGAAUGAAUAAAUAUUUAAAUCUUAAAAAAAAAAAAAAGAGC
rnacentral:lncRNA from 12 species